rnacentral:rRNA from 1 species
GACUGUAGCGUAACUGACGCUGAAGCUCGAAAGUGUGGGUAUCGAACAGGGUUAGAUACCCUGGUAGUCCACACGGUAAACGAUGGAUGCUCGCUGUGCGCCUUUAGAGGUGCGUGGCCAAGCGAAAGCAUUAAGCAUCCCACCUGGGGAGUACGCCGGCAACGGUGAAACUCAAAGGAAUUGACGGGGGCCCGCACAAGCGGAGGAACAUGUGGUUUAAUUCGAUGAUACGCGAGGAACCUUACCCGGGCUUGAACUGCCAGUGAACGAUUCAGAGAUGAUGAGGCCCUUCGGGGCGCUGGUGGAGGUGCUGCAUGGUUGUCGUCAGCUCGUGCCGUGAGGUGCCGGCUUAAGUGCCAUAACGAGCGCAACCCCUUUCGUCAGUUGCCAUCAGGUAAUGCUGGGCACUCUGGCGAUACUGCCACCGUAAGGUGUGAGGAAGGUGGGGAUGACGUCAAAUCAGCACGGCCCUUACGUCCGGGGCUACACACGUGUUACAAUGGCGCAUACAGAGAGUUGGCUUAUGGCGACAUGAGUCUAAUCAAGAAAAUGCGUCGUAGUUCGGAUUGGGGUCUGCAACCCGACCCCAUGAAGCUGGAU